rnacentral:rRNA from 1 species
GACGAACGCUAGCGGCAGGCCUAAUACAUGCAAGUCGAGGGGCAGCGCGGUAGCAAUACUGGCGGCGACCGGCGCACGGGUGCGUAACACGUAUGCAACCUACCUUCAACUGGAGGAUAGCCCGGGGAAACUCGGAUUAAUACUCCAUAACACAGGGAUCCCGCAUGGGAAUAUUGUUAAAGCUACGGCGGUUGAAGAUGGGCAUGCGUUCGAUUAGCUAGUUGGUGUAGGUAACGGCUCACCAAGGCUACGAUCGAUAGGGGGUCUGAGAGGAUGAUCCCCCACACUGGUACUGAGAUACGGACCAGACUCCUACGGGAGGCAGCAGUAGGGAAUAUUGGUCAAUGGAUGCAAGUCUGAACCAGCCAUGCCGCGUGCAGGAAGAAGGCCUUCUGGGGUUGUAAACUGCUUUUGCCAGGGGAUAAAUUUCCAUGCGUGGAAACUGAAGGUACCUGGUGAAUAAGCCACGGCUAACUACGUGCCAGCAGCCGCGGUAAU